GUGAAAUGAUGAUUCAGUUUAUCCAUUCGCUGAGUACGCAGUCACUGAUCUUCUUCCAAGCCUCAGUUCCCGUUCUGGGAACCUGAGUCUACGCAGCCUCCAGUUGCCUUGCCUUGCAGUCUGUAGUGUUCUACUGUGGACAGCUUGUGUGUUGGUGGCUGCUGGUAAGAUGGUUGGUGUCAGCAGGGAUAGGUCCUCCGGGUCCCAUCUCACUAAGAUGAGUGGUGAAAUCUGAUCAC
ensembl:snoRNA SNORD17 small nucleolar RNA, C/D box 17